rnacentral:rRNA from 1 species
CAGCACCUCAAGUGGUCAGGAUGAUUAUUGGGCCUAAAGCAUCCGUAGCCGGCUCUGUAAGUUUUCGGUUAAAUCUGUACGCUCAACGUACAGGCUGCCGGGAAUACUGCAGAGCUAGGGAGUGGGAGAGGUAGACGGUACUCGGUAGGAAGGGGUAGAAUCCUUUGAUCUAUUGAUGACCACCUGUGGCGAAGGCGGUCUACCAGAACACGUCCGGCGGUGAGGGAUGAAAGCUGGGGGAGCAAACCGAAUUAGAGACCCGAGUAGUCC